rnacentral:rRNA from 1 species
AGUGAACGCUGGCGGUAGGCCUAACACAUGCAAGUCGAACGGCAGCACAGUAAGAGCUUGCUCUUACGGGUGGCGAGUGGCGGACGGGUGAGGAAUACAUCGGAAUCUACUUUUUCGUGGGGGAUAACGUAGGGAAACUUACGCUAAUACCGCAUACGACCUACGGGUGAAAGCAGGGGAUCUUCGGACCUUGCGCGAUUGAAUGAGCCGAUGUCGGAUUAGCUAGUUGGCGGGGUAAAGGCCCACCAAGGCGACGAUCCGUAGCUGGUCUGAGAGGAUGAUCAGCCACACUGGAACUGAGACACGGUCCAGGCUCCUACGGGAGGCAGCAGUGGGGAAUAUUGGACAAUGGGCGCAAGCCUGAUCCAGCCAUACCGCGUGGGUGAAGAAGGCCUUCGGGUUGUAAAGCCCUUUUGUUGGGAAAGAAAAGCAGCAGGUUAAUACCCCGCUGUUCUGACGGUACCCAAAGAAUAAGCACCGGCUAACUUCG